UUUAAUUCCAUAUGAGCUCAUGUAUACUGUUAGUUUUAAUAAAUAGAAAGGCAUGAAUGCUACGAAACAGUAUUACAAGAUACACUCUUAUAUAUUCAUCCCAGCAGCAAGAGAUUUGGGGGGAAUCUGAGAUUCUUGUUUGUGAAACUGAAAAUAUUUUUACUGUUGCCCGCUGACAAUCUCUUACGGGAGUCACAAAGAGAACGCUUGCGUAAUGUCUCCUACAAUGAGAUAUAAAUAAAGAAAUUUUUACGUUAUUGAAAAUAAAAGAAAGAAAAGAAGACCUCGAACCCCUCGUUAGAAAAAAAAAUACAAAUCAGGCGAUAUGUUUUAACGAAAUAUCCUGUUUCCUAUAUUUUCUGACAUUCGAUGCAAGGAGAGAAAGAUU